rnacentral:rRNA from 1 species
UACGUAGGGGGCAAGCGUUGUCCGGAAUUAUUGGGCGUAAAGAGCGUGUAGGCGGUCCGGUAAGUCAGCUGUGAAAGUCAAGGGCUCAACCCUUGAAAGCCGGUUGAUACUGUCGGGCUAGAGUCCGGAAGAGGCGAGUGGAAUUCCCGGUGUAGCGGUGAAAUGCGCAGAUAUCGGGAGGAACAUCAGUGGCGAAGGCGGGUCUCUGGGCCGAUACUGACGCUGAGGAGCGAAAGCGUGGGGAGCGAACAGG